rnacentral:rRNA from 1 species
AUGUGCGGGAACCUGUCGUCGAUCUCUUCUAACUUCUGGUCGGGCGAAGCAAAUGGUCAGAAGAAGGUGCACUGGAUUGCUUGGGAUAAGAUGUGUACGAGAAAACAUGAAGGGGGACUCGGGUUUCGUGACCCCGAGGCUUUUAAUCAAGCAAUGCUUGCUAGGCAGGCGUGGCGACUGAUGCAGGUUCCAACCUCUCUGUGUGUCAGGCUCCUUAAAGCGCGGUAUUAUCCUGAGAACUCUAUCCUAAAUGCAACAUGUCCGGGGGGCUGUUCGUACACAUACAGAGGCAUUCUGCAUGGAAGAGACCUGCUGCUAGAUGGACUUAUAUGGAGAAUUGGAGAUGGGACGAAGAUCAAGGUGCAUCACGAUAAUUGGAUCCCCGGGAAGGGUAGCUUAAAGCCAUUGGGCCAGAGCUAUAUCCCUAGAAUCACAAGAGUUUGUGAUCUGCUAGAGGCUGAUGGAGUGUCGUGGAAUCAGGAGUUGGUACAGACCAUGUUUUCCCCCGACGAGGCGAAGGAAAUCAUACAAAUCCUAAUUGGUGGACCGGAGAUGGAAGAUUACCAAGCCUGGAACUACACCAAGAACGGGAUCUUUUCCGUUAGGUCGGCCUACCAUCUGCGGAUGAGUCAGAAGCGGCUGCGAUCGGGUCGGCCGGAGUCUUCCUGUUCCGUAGCUGACCACACAUCUUGGAUGAGUCUUUGGGACACAGUAGCACCGGGGAAGGUCAAAACACAUAUGUGGCGGUUGAUUAGGAAUGGCCUAGCAGUGGGACAGGAGCUUAAGAGAAGGAAAAUUAAGACAUGUUCUUUGUAUCGCAUGUGA